GACGAACGCUGGCGGCGUGCUUAACACAUGCAAGUCGAACGGAUCAGGGGAGCUUGCUUUCCUGGUUAGUGGCGAACAGGUGAGUAACACGUGAGCAAUCUGCCCUUGACUCUGGGAUAACUGCGGGAAACUGUAGCUAAUACCGGAUAUGACAGCCGACGGCAUCGUCUGGUUGUGGAAAGAAUUUCGGUCAGGGAUGAGCUCGCGGCCUAUCAGCUUGUUGGUGAGGUAAUGGCUCACCAAGGCGACGACGGGUAGCCGGCCUGAGAGGGUGACCGGCCACACUGGGACUGAGACACGGCCCAGACUCC
rnacentral:rRNA from 1 species